AGUGAACGCUGGCGGUAGGCCUAACACAUGCAAGUCGAACGGCAGCACAGUAAGAGCUUGCUCUUACGGGUGGCGAGUGGCGGACGGGUGCGGAAUACCUCGGAAUCUACUUUUUCGUGGGGGCUAACGUAGGGAAACUUACGCUAAUACCGCAUACGACCUACGGGUGAAAGCAGGGGAUCUUCGGACCUUGCGCGAUUGAAUGAGCCGAUGUCGGAUUAGCUAGUUGGCGGGGUAAAGGCCCACCAAGGCGACGAUCCGUAGCUGGUCUGAGAGGAUGAUCAGCCACACUGGAACUGAGACACGGUCCAGGCUCCUACGGGAGGCAGCAGUGGGGAAUAUUGGACAAUGGGCGCAAGCCUGAUCCAGCCAUACCGCGUGGGUGAAGAAGGCCUUCGGGUUGUAAAGCCCUUUUGUUGGGAAAGAAAAGCAGCAGGCUAAUACCCCGCUGUUCUGACGGUACCCAAAGAAUAAGCACCGGCUAACUUCGUG
rnacentral:rRNA from 1 species